GUUUCAUAAACCCCUUGAUCAUUUUAGGCUCCUGUAGCAAGGAAGCAGUAAACAAGAAUGGAGUCCUCACAUAGGCAGUGGUAAAUGACCUUGUUCUUCGGGAAGAGGGAGAACUUGACUCAGGAGGGCCAGUGAGUAUUUGUUCCAGGAUUUCUGGAAGAGAAUGGAGCCAAUCUUGCUUGGGUUCCUGGACUUCAGAGAGAGAGAGCACAAGCAGGGAAAGCAGCAGAGGGAAAGGGAGAUGCAGACUUCCCGCUGAGCAGUGAGCCCAACCGUGGCGUUUGAUCCCAAGGACCCUGAGAGCCUGACCUGAGCGGAAGGCAGCAGCUUAACCAACUGAGCCACCCAGGCACGCCAGAAAUGAACGUUUUAGAAAGGAAAAAACAAUAAUAACAAUCCAAUGAUGUGGAGGAUGAGGCAGAAAUCAUAAAAAUGUCCACCAUGGUUAGUAAUGAAUCUCCAGGUUAAGUCUCUAUUCCAUGGGCUUUCCUGGAGAACAAAGGGAGAAGUGGGUGAGACUAGAUUUCCUCAACUCAGCAAGUAAGAGUGAAUGGGAGAGAGUCUGGGGUUUAUUUUUUCUCAAUUAUUUUCUCUGCAUUCAUGUGUAUUUAUAUAAACAUAUGUGUACUCAUAUAGUUAGAAGUAGUGUAAAUGUAGCUUUUAGCUCGGCGAUUUAAGUAAUAACUGUAAGAUUAGUGAAAAAUGUUGUAUGCAUAGGCCAAUAUUUUGGUCAUUUUUAUUUCUCAGUUGCAUUUCCUUGUUUUUUUACUCUGGAGUCUGCAAACAUAUAAUUCAUAGUAAUCAAUUUAAAUUUUCUUUUGAUGUUGAUCUUCAUUAGCUCUUAGUUUAAAUACCAAAUACUUCACACACUACAGAUUCUUGUUUUAAUCCAUGAAUGUAACCAGCAUAUCAUAUUCCCCUUCAUGUGCUUGCUAUUAGUAAGCCUCCAAAUGCUGUUCUCAAUUACACAGAUACGCUAAAUGUAUGUAUAGCAGAAACUUGCUAAUUUGUAACUUAAAAGCCUGGAAAACAAUGGGCUUAAAUUAAUUGGAUAUCUGGUAUUUUUUAUAUUAUAAAACAACUGAAUGUUAACUAGGUUGGGAAAGAACAAUUAUUGUGCUUUGUAUCAUGCACUAUUUUAUAUGAACAGAUAACGGCUUAUUGGAGACUUCUGAGUUAGCUCAUAGCUAUAACUAUGUGUGUUUGACAGCUGUGUAUUUAGGUAGUGGUUGUAGGUCAGUUUGCCAGAAGUCAAUUUACUGAAUGACUAAUUCACUGAAUUAUACGAAUUUCUUAGAGUUGUACUUUUUCCAAUGUCUCUGCUCUUGCCCUUGCCUCUACAUUAUAUGCAAAUGGGUGUUUUCCCUUAAAUGCAAUUUGCUGAAUUCUCUGUGUACACUUAUGUUUGCCCUGUGUCUGGUGACAAAGGGUUAAGUUGGACAUUUGCAUUAGAAUAUUAGACUAAAACAUUAGUUUGGGCCUUUGGCACUGAGGAAUGCUAAACGGAGAACUAGUAAAGAAUGAUGGCCAGAUGAAGAGGACUGGAAUCUUGCUUUGCCAUUAGAGAGCUGCAUGACCUUGAACAAACUAUUUAUCUUCUAAAGGUGUAAGUUUCCUGAUCUCAAGGCAUUAUCAAGUGUGUCAACUGUGAAAAGGAUCUAUGGGAAAGAAAGAAGUGGACUUGUGUUGUACGUACAGUGAACUGAGGAGAGCUUGUGGUCCCUUUUACCUAUGGAGAAGUGUGUUCCUCAUGUAAAUAAUACCUGCUGUGUGUGUACUGAUGGAUAGAGGUUGAGGACAUGGAUCUCAGAUCCUUUCCAGCCCUGAUAGUCUAUGAUUUCAUCAUCUUCCAGGCUGACUGGAACUGCUGUUUUUGGUGUAGGGUUUCUGUGCCUGUGACUUAAGGGAGUUUCCACUCGAUAGUAAUCCAGGAGAUUUACAAUGCAGGUUUGGAUAACAUGCUUCAGCUAAUGGGGUAUAAAAGCAGACACUUAAAACAAUCUUAUUAAUAAAAUGUCAAUG